rnacentral:rRNA from 1 species
UACGUAGGUGUCCUUGCAAGUUUUAUGUUAAAGCCCGAUGCUCAACAUCGGAAACGCGUAAAAAACUGCAAGGAUCGAGUCAGAUAGAGGUAAGCAGAAUUCUAGGUGUAGCGGUGAAAUGCGUUGAUAUCUAGAGGAAUACCAAUUGCGAAGGCAGCUUACUGGAUCUUGACUGACACUGAGGUACGAAAGCGUGGUAGCAAAAC